UGGCGAACCAAGGCGUGACGGUA
rnacentral:misc_RNA from 1 species